UUGGUCAUUUAGAGGAAGUAAAAGUCGUAACAAGGUUUCCGUAGGUGAACCUGCGGAAGGAUCAUUACCUAGAGUUGUAGGCUUUGCCUGCUAUCUCUUACCCAUGUCUUUUAAGUACCUUACGUUUCCUCGGCGGGUCCGCCCGCCGAUUGGACAAUUUAAACCAUUUGCAGUUGCAAUCAGCGUCUGAAAAAACUUAAUAGUUACAACUUUCAACAACGGAUCUCUUGGUUCUGGCAUCGAUGAAGAACGCAGCGAAAUGCGAUAAGUAGUGUGAAUUGCAGAAUUCAGUGAAUCAUCGAAUCUUUGAACGCACAUUGCGCCCCUUGGUAUUCCAUGGGGCAUGCCUGUUCGAGCGUCAUUUGUACCUUCAAGCUCUGCUUGGUGUUGGGUGUUUGUCUCGCCUCUGCGUGUAGACUCGCCUCAAAACAAUUGGCAGCCGGCGUAUUGAUUUCGGAGCGCAGUACAUCUCGCGCUUUGCACUCAUAACGACGACGUCCAAAAGUACAUUUUUACACUCUUGACCUCGGAUCAGGUAGGGAUACCCGCUGAACUUAAGCAUAUCAAUAAG
rnacentral:rRNA from 1 species